rnacentral:pre_miRNA from 1 species
AAAAAUAUGUAGCUAAUGUUGGAUCGAAAAAUGGAUAUCGGAGAUUCAUCCAUAUAAUUAUAAGUAAAAAUUUUAGUCUCAGUAAAAUUUUUACUCAUAAAUAAAUCUGGGAAUAAAACUCUUACUCAUGGUGAUGGGGAUGAAUCUCGAACGUUUAUUUUCGAUCCAAUGAUAGUUUACAUGUUUCU